GAUGAACGCUGGCGGCGUGCCUAAUACAUGCAAGUCGAGCGAACAGACGAGGAGCUUGCUCCUCUGACAUUAGCGGCGGACGGGUGAGUAACACGUGGAUAACCUACCUAUAAGACUGGGAUAACUUCGGGAAACCGGAGCUAAUACCGGAUAAUAUAUUGAACCGCAUGGUUCAAUAGUGAAAGACGGUUUUGCGGUCACUUAUAGAUGGAUCCGCGCCGCAUUAGCUAGUUGGUAAGGUAACGGCUUACCAAGGCAACGAUGCGUAGCCGACCUGAGAGGGUGAUCGGCCACACUGGAACUGAGACACGGUCCAGACUCCUACGGGAGGCAGCAGUAGGGAAUCUUCCGCAAUGGGCGAAAGCCUGACGGAGCAACGCCGCGUGAGUGAUGAAGGUCUUCGGAUCGUAAAACUCUGUUAUUAGGGAAGAACAAAUGUGUAAGUAACUAUGCACGUCUUGACGGUACCUAAUCAGAAAGCCACGGCUAACUACGUG
rnacentral:rRNA from 1 species